rnacentral:rRNA from 1 species
AGUGAACGCUGGCGGUAGGCCUAACACAUGCAAGUCGAACGGCAGCACAGUAAGAGCUUGCUCUUACGGGUGGCGAGUGGCGGACGGGUGAGGAAUACAUCGGAAUCUACUUUUUCGUGGGGGAUAACGUAGGGAAACUUACGCUAAUACCGCAUACGACCUACGGGUGAAAGCAGGGGAUCUUCGGACCUUGCGCGAUUGAAUGAGCCGAUGUCGGAUUAGCUAGUUGGCGGGGUAAAGGCCCACCAAGGCGACGAUCCGUAGCUGGUCCGAGAGGAUGAUCAGCCGCACUGGAACUGAGACACGGUCCAGACUCCUACGGGAGGCAGCAGUGGGGAAUAUUGGACAAUGGGCGCAAGCCUGAUCCAGCCAUACCGCGUGGGUGAAGAAGGCCUUCGGGUUGUAAAGCCCUUUUGUUGGGAAAGAAAAGCAGCAGGUUAAUACCCCGCUGUUCUGACGGUACCCAAAGAAUAAGCACCGGCUAACUUCGUG